UACGGAGGGGGCUAGCGUUGUUCGGAAUUACUGGGCGUAAAGCGCACGUAGGCGGACUGUUAAGUCGGGGGUGAAAUCCCUCGGCUCAACCGAGGAACUGCAUCCGAUACUGGCGGGCUUGAAUCCGGGAGAGGGAUGUGGAAUUCCAGGUGUAGCGGUGAAAUGCGUAGAUAUCUGGAGGAACACCGGUGGCGAAAGGCGGCAUCCUGGACCGGUAUUGGACGCUGAGGCGCGAAAGCUAGGGGAGCAAACGGGAUUAAGAA
rnacentral:rRNA from 1 species